rnacentral:rRNA from 1 species
UACGGAGGGUGCAAGCGUUAUCCGGAUUCACUGGGUUUAAAGGGUGCGUAGGUGGGAAUGUAAGUCAGUGGUGAAAUCUCUGAGCUUAACUCAGAAACUGCCAUUGAUACUAUGUUUCUUGAAUUUUUUCCGGAGGUCAGCGGAAUAUGUCAUGUAGCGGUGAAAUGCUUAGAUAUGACAUAGAACACCAAUUGCGAAGGCAGCUGGCUACAGGGAUAUUGACACUGAGGCACGAAAAGCGUGGGGAGUCAAAACAGGAAUU